ACAUGCUUACAACAUAGCGUUAAUGCAUCAUAUUCCAUUAGAACUCUGCAAUUAAGAGCGCUCAGGCUAGAGUAUUAUUGGGAUGGGUGACCAUCCAGAAAUUCCUCGUGUUUUACAUGCC
rfam:Picea glauca, whole genome shotgun sequence.